rnacentral:rRNA from 1 species
AGUGAACGCUGGCGGUAGGCCUAACACAUGCAAGUCGAACGGCAGCACAGUAAGAGCUUGCUCUUACGGGUGGCGAGUGGCGGACGGGUGAGGAAUACAUUGGAAUCUACUUUUUCGUGGGGGAUAACGUAGGGAAACUUACGCUAAUACCGCAUACGACCUACGGGUGAAAGCAGGGGAUCUUCGGACCUUGCGCGAUUGAAUGAGCCGAUGUCGGAUUAGCUAGUUGGCGGGGUAAAGGCCCACCAAGGCGACGAUCCGUAGCUGGUCUGAGAGGAUGAUCAGCCACACUGGAACUGAGACACGGUCCAGACUCCUACGGGAGGCAGCAGUGGGGAAUAUUGGACAAUGGGCGCAAGCCUGAUCCAGCCAUACCGCGUGGGUGAAGAAGGCCUUCGGGUUGUAAAGCCCUUUUGUUGGGAAAGAAAAGCAGCAGGUUAAUACCCCGCUGUUCUGACGGUACCCAAAGAAUAAGCACCGGCUAACUUCGU